GCUGCAAGAUUCAUUCCAGUUUAUCAGAAUAAUCAUCUGGGGCCGAGACUGCAGAUAAACAGCCAAAUCCACAGUCUCGCUAUGUGGUAAGAAGUGUUUUACUAAAAUCCCUUUUCCUAGAUAUAUUAAGACGGGAGUGGGAGACACGUUACUGUCUAAACUCAAACAAGUGCAAAGCACCAGUUUGUGUAGACCUGGGACAGAGGCUUGGAUUCUGUACCCACAAAACACGGCUGGCUAAGGCAUCUGGUCUGCCUGGGGAAGGCGGUGAGUAAAAUCACUGAGCAUGCUUGCCAAUCAACCUCGGCCAGGGUGCACUUCCAGGCUGCAUUUCUCCGUGACUUGGCCAUCCGCUCCUCUUCCCCGUCCUUUUGACUCUCGGGCCCUUUCUGGUUGUUCUUCUAUUCUGUGGCACCAUUCCCUCAGAGAACAUCAAGGUUUGUCUUUGACUUUGUUUCUACCCCUGCUGGUGAGCAAGCUCCUGAUACAGUGCUUAUGAAACAAAAGUCACAAAUGGAUCACUAGCACCAGAACCCUAAGGAUCCACUCUGCGCACAGGCCUAUAGUGAGAAUUUUGGUUCUGCUAACCUCCUAGUUAUGUUAUAUGAAUAUGUUUUGUUUUAAUCUCAGGUGUGGGAUAUGGGGCUGCUUCAGAUUGUUCACAGCUGCUAGCUAUGAUUGUCUCGUGCUUUAGGAGGGACGUGAUUUUUUAUUUUUUAAUUUUUUUAUUUUUUUGCCAGCUGCAGAUAGUUUAUGUUUGGCAUUCUGGGGCCUCCUGAGAGGGUAUAAAUUGGAGAAGCCCAAGAGGGCCUGUGGCGACUGCUACUCCCCCUGCUGCUGGUCCCUGCUAUUGCUUUUGCUGGUAACAUGGUCAUCAAUUGGAAUUACCUAGGAUGGGGAGCAGAACCCAGAGGUAGUUGGGUACCUGGUAACGAGACUGCUGACACUUCCUAGUAUCCGUCCUUCUCCAUCGGCACAUGAUCUUGGGAGAUGCUGAAGACCCUGGAAGUGGAAGCUUGACUAAGAGACUCCGUGGUGAAGCUCCCACAGGUCAUCAUCUGUGAUGGAGUGGGGUUUGGCGGUGAUACAGCCGUUUGGGGUUUUACAUAUGCUCCUGGGAGUAACUUCUUACCUGAGCUCUGUAAGCAAACUCCAUGUAUUCAUUGGUUUGCCAAGUUGGACUGCAGUAGAAUCCUUGCUUUGAUCUGUCUUUGGUCUCCUAUUAGGUGGAUAGAAGUUGUUUCUGUCUCUGUUUCAGGGGGAAAAAAUGACAUAACAAUCAUAUAAGGCACUGACUUGUGACAAAUGUGACAAGAGCAAGGAUGAAGAGGGCAGGGUGUGAUGGGAGUGGGCAAUAGGAGAUGGCUCAGUUGGGGGUGGUGGCAGAAGGGCUCAUAUAAGGUUCAAGUGGCAUCUGGGCCUCAUAGUAAAUAGGAGUCAUCAAAGGGAUCUAACCAGGGGCUGGAAGGGUUCAGCCCCAAUGCUGCUCUCACCCCUUCUGUGUAAGCUUUGGCAGAUUCUAGGGUAGGCAGUCUGAAACAUUGACCUAUCUGUGGGCCAGAGGGCUGUGAGGGCCUGGAGAGGGCUGCUAGAGUAGGCGGGAGAAAGGGUUGAGAGCAGGCUGGCCUAACAAUCCUCAGGGAACUGUGAGACUAUGGCUAUGAGGUGUGUCAGGUCCUCAAAGACUCUUGUGGCUCUAAUUGAAAUGCUCCCUGUCACAGGAAUGUCAGGGAGUAGGUGGCUCUGGCCCUAAAAAAGCACAUGGACUAAUUUGUUCGUCACGGGCCAAAAUGUGCUUCCAGCAUCCCUGCACAGCCUCUGGCCCAGACUUCAAUGGUAAGCUAAACUCCCGCAGGAGCCAAGGACAUUGAAGCACAGUCAAUGAAAGCCUGUUUUCUAGGAUCCAAAGCUGCAACCUGCGAACCUCAGCUGUAUCAUCUCAUCUGACACGGAACAGAGAGGGGCCAGCCAGGUGCUUAACGAAGCCAUGUUUUCAGCCUGAGUGCACAGAAACCAGGUAGUAUUUGCUUCAUCCUUCACUUUCAGGAUUCAGAGGGCGGCAUCUUGAAAGGUAUUGGUUGUGAAGUUAUACGUAUUUUUGAAUACUUCAAGUUGGGAUAAAAUAUAAAUGUUCAUUAUGUGCUCGACUGAAUGUUCGUAUGCAUGUGAAUAUGCGAGUAAGUGUGUGUGUGUCUCUGUGUGUGUGUGUGUGUGUGUGUGUGUGUAUGUGUGUGUGUGGUGUAUGUCUGCAUAUUCAUGGGCAUAUGCAUGUAAUGUGUGCAUACGGAAGCCAGAGGACAACUUCAGGCCUUCUUCCUCAAGUACCAUCUACUCUGUUGUUUUUGGUACUGGCUCUCUCACUGGCCUGGGACUCACCAAAUAGGCCAGCAAACCACAGGGUUUUGGCAUAUGGCCACGGCUGCCUUUGAGCUCAAAAUUCUCCAACCUCAACCUCCUGAAUGCUGGGAUUACAAGUGUGCAGCACCAUACAUGGUUUAUUGCCCUCCUCACUGGGGAGGGAUGUCACUGUAGCUGAUGGAAUUCCAACCUGCUUCUGCCAUCCCAAAGGGAAACAACUGCCUCAAAAGAGAUGGAGGACUAUAGCUACAGACUCAGUCCCGGAGCAACUGUGGAACUGACGUGAGCGUCUUGAAUAAGCACUUGUUAUUCUGUGUGUGUGUACAUGUUUGUGUAGGUGUGCACUUUGUGUGUGCAGAGGCCAGAGGAUGGAAC
rnacentral:lncRNA from 1 species